GAAUCAGUGCGCUGGUCGUGCCUCUGGUAUGCACUGGUGCUACUGAUUUCUCCCUUCUGAAGAACUAUCAUGCCAUUAAUUUGGUGUGGUAGGGAAUCAGGACUGUUACUUUGAAAAAAUUAGAGUGUUUAAAGCAGGCUCACGCUUGAAUACAUUAGCAUGGAAUAAUGAAAUAGGACGUUGAUCUUAUUUUGUUGGUUUCUAGGAUUGACGUA
rnacentral:rRNA from 1 species